UUGAAACGGAGUCUCGUUCUGUCGCCCAGGCUGGAGUGCAGUGGCGCCAUCUCGGCUCACUGCAAGCUCAGCCUCCCGGGUUCACGCCAUUCUCCUGCCUCAGCCUCCUGAGUAGCUGGGACAACAGGCACCUGCCACCACCACGCCCGGCUAAUUUUUUUUGUAUUUUUAGUAGAGACGGGGUUUCACCGUGUUAGCCAGGAUGGUCUCGAUCUCCUGACCUCGUGAUCUGCCCGCCUCGGCCUCCCAAAGUGCUGGGAUUACAGGCGUGAGCCACUGCACCUGGCUAGAUAUGUCUUUAAUCCAUUUUGAUUUGAGUUUUGCAUAUCGUGAGAGAUAAGGGUCUAGUUUCGUUCUUCUACAUAAGGUAAUCCAGUUUUCUUUACAACAUUUAUUGGAGACUGUCCUUUCCCCAUUGCAUAGUAUUGAUACCUUUGUCUUUAAAGAGUUGGCCGUAAACAUUCCUUUUGUCUCAAUCUCCCAGUUUUUGGCGGGUUUGCAAGUCAUUUUCGCCUAUGUCAGCCAAGAUGGAAUACUCUAUUGGCGCAGUGACAUAAAUAUCUUACUUUUCAGUAAUACCAACAUGGGUCUCUAUAUGAUGUUCUUUAAACUUAAUUUGAAAGAGAAGGAUCAGCUGUGCAUGGUGGCACACACAUGCAGUCCCAGCUACUGAGGAAGAUGAUGAGGCAGGAGGACCGCCUGAGCCCAGAAGUUUAAGGCUGCAGUGAGCUAAGAUUAAGUAACAUUCCUAAAGACACAUACCAGGUCUUUAGCUCAGAGCUGAGUUAAAAUUUGACCAAAAUCUAUAUGACCUAUGUCUGGGUCUACGUUCUAAACCACUUUCUGUUAAUUGAACAGUAGAUGUUUUUCUUUGUGAUGGAUGCUAUACUUCAAUAUGCCUCAAAUGUUUUUGACAUAUUAAAUAAAAAAUAUAUAGUUUAUCAAUACAAUUAUAUUUUCAAAUGUAAUAAAGUUAGAUACAAAUCCUUGAAGAAAUGUUUAUGGCAACAAGAAAAACUAAAUAUCUAUUCCACAGUGCUUUUAUGGAAGAGGGCUCACUAUUCUGAUACACUGUGUUUGCCUUGAAAAUUAAACUUUAACAAAAAUUAUCAAUAAUGAAAUAUUCUUUAUUAUAUGGAUUAUAUUUAAUGUUAUACAAAAGAACCAGCUAAUUCUGUUUAGAAAUUAAAAACUAGAAGAAAAUCAAAAUAUUAUUUUGUAAUUCCACUUUGCUUAACCUGUUAAACUACCUACGACCUUAGGCAGUUUCUUGUGUAUUAUGUUAAUAAUAUGUAGGUGACAUUUUCUCUACUUUUGUUUAUUAGUUUCAACAUGUAUGAAAUAAAAUAAUCUGCCAUCAAAUGCU
rnacentral:lncRNA from 10 species